rnacentral:rRNA from 1 species
UACGGAGGGUGAAAGCGUUAUCCGGAUUCACUGGGUUUAAAGGGUGCGUAGGUGGGUAUGUAAGUCAGUGGUGAAAUCCCCGAGCUUAACUUGGGAACUGCCGUUGAUACUAUAUAUCUUGAAUAUCGCGUAGGUAAGCGGAAUAUGUCAUGUAGCGGUGAAAUGCUUAGAUAUGACAUAGAACACCAAUUGCGAAGGCAGCUUACUUCACGAUUAUUGACACUGAGGCACGAAAGCGUGGGGAGCAAACAGG